rnacentral:rRNA from 1 species
UACAGAGGUCUCAAGCGUUAAUCGGAAUCACUGGGCUUAAAGGGUGCGUAGGCGGACAUGCAAGUGCUUUGUGAAAUCCCAUGGCUUAACCAUGGAACUGCUUGGCAGACUGCACGUCUUGAGGUUGGCAGAGGCAGCUGGAACUCUAGGUGGAGCGGUGAAAUGCGUAGAUAUCUAGAGGAACGCCAAAGGUGAAGACAAGCUGCUGGGCCGAUUCUGACGCUGUGGCACGAAAGCGUGGGGAGCGAAC